AGCGCAGGUGGUUGUAUAAGUCUGAAGUAAAAAGGCAGUGGCUCAACCAUUGUGUGCUUUGGAAACUGUACAACUUGAGUGCAGAAGGGGAGAGUGGAAUUCCAUGUGUAGCGGUGAAAUGCGUAGAUAUAUGGAGGAACACCGGUGGCGAAAGCGGCUCUCCGGUCUGUAACUGACACUGAGGCUCGAAGCGUGGGGAGGCAAACCCA
rnacentral:rRNA from 1 species